rnacentral:tRNA from 1 species
GUCAGCGUGGCUCAGUUGGUAAGACUGGUAAUCAAGGCCGCAUACAUUAGAGAUGUGUGGGUUUGAAUCCCAUCACUGACA